GGCACGCGCUCCGUUACCUGCUUCUCACUGGUUCCUUCUGGUUCUCUGUUGACACCGGAGCGCGAGCUUUUCCUAUUAACGGGGCUGUCUCCAGACUUCUCUUUCUGGAACCAAGUCCCAGUCGCCCUCAGGUGGGACUCCAACCUAUGACCCCAAGAUUCAGGGUUGCAUGUUCUUCCAACUGAGCCAACCAGCCCUUUGCAGAGCAAACAGAAAGAGACAGACCUGCGUUCCCAAAGAGAAGCCUGCUUUACAAUCCCAGCAGAGGAAGAAAGAUUUUCUCCCAGCCCAGCAACAGCCUAGCCAAUGAGAGACUGUCACACACAACUCAACCAAUGAAAAGCCACUACACUUCCGACUCCCGGUUUACUCCAAUGGACUUUUUGUUUACAACAGCUCCUCCCAAGUCCCCCACCCCCCUUUUCUCUAUGAAAGAGCCAACUUCUCCUUUGUGCUUUGGACUUGUUUGUGGUUUUGCUGUAGCUUGCGUGGCUUGAAUUGUAAUUCUCUGCUGCUCCCGAAUAAAUCAGUUUUUCUGGUAAAAU